GACGGAGGGUGCUAGCGUUGUUCGGAAUUACUGGGCGUAAAGGGCGCGUAGGCGGCUUGUUAAGUCGGGUGUGAAAGCCCGGGGCUCAACCCCGGAACGGCACCCGAGACUGGCGGGCUUGAGACCGAGAGAGGAGAGUGGAAUAACCAGUGUAGAGGUGAAAUUCGUAGAUAUUGGGUGGAACACCAGUGGCGAAAGCGGCUCUCUGGCUCGGUUCUGGCGCUGAGGCGCGAAAGCGUGGGGAGCAAACAGG
rnacentral:rRNA from 1 species